ensembl:rRNA 5S_rRNA 5S ribosomal RNA
GUCUAUGGCCACACCACCCUGAGCACUUCCAAUUUCAUCUGACCUUUUAAGCUAAGCAGGGUGGGGCCUGGUUAGUACUUGAAUGGAAGACCACCUGGGAAUAUCAAGUUCUGUAAACU